UACGGGGGGAGCAAGCGUUGUUCGGAAUUACUGGGCGUAAAGGGCGCGUAGGCGGCUCAUACAGUCAGGCGUGAAAUUCCUGGGCUCAACCUGGGGGCUGCGCUUGAGACGUGUGGGCUUGAGGACAGGAGAGGCUCGUGGAAUUCCCAGUGUAGAGGUGAAAUUCGUAGAUAUUGGGAAGAACACCGAUGGCGAAGGCAGCCAUCUGGACCGACACUGACGCUGAGGCGCGAAAGCGUGGGGAGCAAACAGG
rnacentral:rRNA from 1 species